AGUGAACGCUGGCGGUAGGCCUAACACAUGCAAGUCGAACGGCAGCACAGGAGAGCUUGCUCUCUGGGUGGCGAGUGGCGGACGGGUGAGGAAUACAUCGGAAUCUACUCUGUCGUGGGGGAUAACGUAGGGAAACUUACGCUAAUACCGCAUACGACCUACGGGUGAAAGCAGGGGCCCUUCGGGCCUUGCGCGAUUGAAAGAGCCGAUGUCGGCUUUGCUAGUUGGCGGGGGAAAGGCCCACCAAGGCGACGAUCCGUCGCUGGUCUGAGAGGAUGAUCGGCCACACUGGCCUUGAGACACGGUCCAGACUCCUACGGGAGGGAGCAGUGGGGGAUAUUGGACAAUGGGCGCAAGCCUGUACCAGCCAUACCGCGUGGGUGAAGAAUGCCUUCGGGUUGUAAAGCCCUUUUGUUGGGAAAGAAAUCCAGCUGGCUAAUAGCCGGUUAGGAUGACGGUACCCAAAGAAUAAGCACCGGCUAACUUCGUGCCAGCAGCCGCGGUAA
rnacentral:rRNA from 1 species